GUGAACGCGCAUGCACGUCGCCGGGAUUAUAGAGACAGGCGGGUGCCUGCUCCGGGGGGAUCGAGGAGCGGGCAGGAGAGAGAAGAGCCAGUGUCCGAAGCGCCGAGCGGCCGAUCCCACGCCCGGGGGCUUCUCGGGCUUUGGACGUGGGCCGACUGGGAGGGGCAGGGCAACGGCCGGGAGUCGCUCCCCGGUCGCUGACCCCAGGCUCCAGCCCUGCAGUGGGGACGAUCGUCCCCCGCCGCGGGUCGCGUGGUGAUGCGGGCAUCUAGGCGUGUCGUGCUGCCGUGCCUGGACCAGGGGAAAGCUGGGGUGAGGCUGUGCAAUGCACGUCCCGUCCCCCACCUGGCCCGGCCGGGCAUUGAUUGUGGCUGGACUCGCCGGGCGCCGAGAGGGACCAGCCCAGGCCCCGGGGAGGGCUCGGACAUCCAGUGCUGGAUGCGCGGGACGUGGGGGGAUCGCCGACUCCCCUGUGCAGAAUAUCUAAUCUCAGAAGGCCAAGGAAAAAGUCACAAAACAGCUUCUCAUCACUGUCUGAUGCAGUACCAGAUAUGUGACACCCAGACAGCAUGCAGUAGAAGGGAUCCCACAAGCAACUUCCCACAAACUCCUACCUGCACAAGUGACUAGUAUUAUGUAAGCCAAACUGCCCAUGUGCAAAAGUCACAAGGUUAUGACUGUACAACAUUAAACAAGCAUAAUGUUCAGCAUCUUAUGAGCUUGUAUGGAGAAAAAAGCAGUGGGUGGUGUCAGUCUUAAGUAAAAGCAUUGCAAGCGGCUGCUUUGGGACCUUAAUGAUGUUUGGUGAAUGAGCCUAAUCACCUCUCUUAGUGGUAUUGGAAGAACAUGUAAAUUCACUGCCAGACUAGAUCGCUUUUGGGGAUCUGGAGUGGAGAAAGGCACUGAUUCACUGCUUCAGCAUUGGCGUUUAGGCUCCUCACAUUAUUAAAUCACUCCUCCUGCAGGGCAGGGGAAACAGUAAAGUGAAAUAGUGGAAAGCAAAAAUGAGGACUGGAUCCCAGUUGCAAGGGCACAAUGACACCCCUUCAGCUGAAUCCCCCUGGUAUUUUUCUCCUUCCAAUUCUGUUCUUUCUGGUCUCCUCAGGCUGAGUUUUUCCUUGUUACCUGAAAGAAGAGCAAGCAGAAACUUUUCCUGCAGUCCAGUUUCCCCUUCUAGAGCUUCUAGAUCUGAAUAUGGGGUAGGGGUGAUGGAGGGUGGGGUCAGGGUUUAUCUGGUGUGAAUGGUCAUUGCCUCCUGCUUAAUGGCAUAUGGCAUACUGCAUCUGCUUUAUGUAUGCAUUUCUCUUUUUCUGCCAGAUGAAGUAAAGGAGAGUUGCCAUGUGUUCAAUUCAUUUACCAAACAGAACCUGUAGCAGGUGUUUAUUAAUCCAUUUGACAUGAGUCUGGUUCUGCUUAGUUUCUUGUAUUGUGCAUCAUGCUAUCUGGGUGCCUUUCAGUGAUGUAUUAAGUAACAUAACUAUCACCUAUUACAUUUGCCUUCUCUGUUCCUAUCCCUGGGGUGGUGAAAUUUUUUACUGGUUUGUCCUUUGUUCUGAUAUACUAUGAAGGAUGUGUGUUGUGACCACCAGCUCAAAGAAAUGUGCCUUGCAACUGGGACAGGAAGGGGUUACAUUUGAGGUAGCUCUUGGAUCCUGUGGGAGGGAACUCUGUAGUCAUAAGUAACCCAGGAAAAUGCACAAUUGAGCUUCCCUCUUUUAAAAGAUAAUCUACCAUGCUGAAGGAGUGCAGUUCUUUGGCUGAGUUAUGGAAGUACUUCCUAUGGGUAUGGGGUGGUUUGCCUUGAGUAUGGAUAGUACUGCUCUCCAAUGCUUGGGAUGUAUUUUUAUUUUUUUACAUUACUGUGGAAAUACUCAGCAUUUCUGGAGAUACUCUUUCUGUCUAGGGAAGACUACAUUUGAAAUGUGUCACCCUUGUCUAUGAAUGUAUUAGUUCUGCCAGUUGAGAUUUUGAGGAGCAUCUCCAGCACUUAGCUGCGUUGAGGUCUAUGGUUUUGGAAACAGAUUGCAAGUGCUAUUCCCUUAACGUAUGUAGUAAGUGUGGUACAUGUUUUCUGCAUCAAUUACAUGCAUUUUCAGGAAUGCUGCAUGAAAUCACUAACACUAAUAAAAACUAGAGCUCUUGAUCA